AAUGGAUCGGUGAUGUUAAUUUUAAACUGCGUUAUCUAUCUGAAAUUUCCUAAAGAAUUUGAAGAUAACCAUAAUCUGCUGAGAUCCAUU
rfam:Glycine soja cultivar W05 scaffold151_10, whole genome shotgun sequence.